rnacentral:rRNA from 1 species
GACGAACGCUGGCGGCGUGCUUAACACAUGCAAGUCGAACGAAGAGCGAUGGAAGCUUGCUUCUAUCAAUCUUAGUGGCGAACGGGUGAGUAACGCGUAAUCAACCUGCCCUUCAGAGGGGGACAACAGUUGGAAACGACUGCUAAUACCGCAUACGAUCUAACCUCGGCAUCGAGGAUGGAUGAAAGGUGGCCUCUAUGUAUAAGCUAUCACUGAAGGAGGGGAUUGCGUCUGAUUAGCUAGUUGGAGGGGUAACGGCCCACCAAGGCGAUGAUCAGUAGCCGGUCUGAGAGGAUGAACGGCCACAUUGGGACUGAGACACGGCCCAGACUCCUACGGGAGGCAGCAGUGGGGAAUCUUCCGCAAUGGACGAAAGUCUGACGGAGCAACGCCGCGUGAGUGAUGACGGCCUUCGGAUUGUAAAGCUCUGUUAAUCGGGACGAAAGGCCUUCUUGCGA